AAUUAGUCACCUCCAUAUUAAUACCCACACUUCUGGAGCGCCAAUUUAUGUUUGUGAAAUAAAUUUAUAUUUUUGUAUGCUUUACAUACCUCCAGAUUAUCCUGUUAUUCGGAGAUCUUAUCUUAUCUUUUUACAGUAGAAACAUGGUAUCUUUAAAGAAAGGCUGUAUUAGAAACUGUUGUUGCGAUUGAAAGUUUCUGGUCUUCUCAAUUAGAACUAUACUUCUCAUUUCCCAAAAGUUGUGCCGAGUAUAUUGACAGAGAAACAGCGAAUAAACGAUUUGAAAGAGUUCCAAUCUAUCCGAGAACAGUAGAAGAUAAAACCAUCAUGAUACUUGCGAACUGCUCAUAUGUGCCGCCUAUUGUAAACCCAGGGUUCAAUCAAGAGGAGAUCUUUUGGCAGUUCCAAAAAACAGUGUGGAAGGCAG